GACGAACGCUGGCGGCGUGCUUAACACAUGCAAGUCGAACGGAAAGGCCCUGCUUUUGUGGGGUGCUCGAGUGGCGAACGGGUGAGUAACACGUGAGUAACCUGCCCUUGACUUUGGGAUAACUUCAGGAAACUGGGGCUAAUACCGGGUAGGAGCUCCUGCUGCAUGUUGUGGGUUGGAAAGUUUCGGCGGUUGGGGAUGGACUCGCGGCUUAUCAGCUUGUUGGUGGGGUAGUGGCUUACCAAGGCUUUGACGGGUAGCCGGCCUGAGAGGGUGACCGGCCACAUUGGGACUGAGAUACGGCCCAGACUCCUACGGGAGGCAGCAGUGGGGAAUAUUGCACAAUGGGCGGAAGCCUGAUGCAGCAACGCCGCGUGCGGGAUGACGGCCUUCGGGUUGUAAACCGCUUUCGCCUGUGACGAAGCGUGAGUGACGGUAAUGGGUAAAGAAGCACCGGCUAACUACGUG
rnacentral:rRNA from 1 species